rnacentral:tRNA from 1 species
GGGCCUGAAGUUUAGCUGGUUGAACACUUCAUUUGCAAUGAAGAGGUAGGGGGUUCGAGUCCCCCCAGGUCCACCA